GACGAACGCUGGCGGCGUGCUUAACACAUGCAAGUCGAACGGAAAGGCCCUGCUUUUGUGGGGUGCUCGAGUGGCGAACGGGUGAGUAACACGUGAGUAACCUGCCCUUGACUUUGGGAUAACUUCAGGAAACUGGGGCUAAUAUCGGAUAGGAGCUCCUGCUGCAUGGUGGGGGUUGGAAAGUUUCGGCGGUUGGGGAUGGACUCGCGGCUUAUCCGCUUGUUGGUGGGGUAGUGGCUUACCAAGGCUUUGACGGGUAGCCGGCCUGAGAGGGGGACCGGCGACAUUGGGACUAAGAUAGGGCCCAGACGCCUACGGGAGGCAGCAGGGGGGAGUAUGACACAGUGGGCGGAAGCCUGAGACAGCAACGCCGCGUGCGGGAUAACGGCCUUCGGGUUGUAAACCGCUUUCGCCUGUGACGAAGCGUGAGUGACGGUAAUGGGUAAAGAAGCACCGGCUAACUACGUG
rnacentral:rRNA from 1 species